UACGUAGGGUGCAAGCGUUAAUCGGAAUUACUGGGCGUAAAGCGUGCGCAGGCGGUGAUGUAAGACAGAUGUGAAAUCCCCGGGCUCAACCUGGGAACUGCAUUGUGACUGCAUCGCUGGAGUGCGGCAGAGGGGGAUGGAAUUCCGCGUGUAGCAGUGAAAUGCGUAGAUAUGCGGAGGAACACCGAUGGCGAAGGCAACCCUC
rnacentral:rRNA from 1 species